rnacentral:rRNA from 1 species
AAAGAAAGUAAGCAAGGGCGCAUGGCGGAUGCCUUGGCUCUCGGAGGCGAUGAAGGACGUGAUAAGCUGCGAUAAGCUUCGGGCAGGUGCAAAUAACCUUUGAUCCGAAGAUUUCCGAAUGGGACAACCCGUCAUUCUGAAGGAAUGACAUCUUGCAUAGCAAGAGGCUAACGCAGGGAACUGAAACAUCUUAGUACCUGUAGGAAAAGAAAAUAAUAAUGAUUCCCCUAGUAGUGGCGAGCGAACGGGGAUUAGCCCAAACCAAUGUUGUUACGGCAAUAUUGGGGUUGUAGGACCACGAUGUCGCAAGAAAUUUAGUGAGAAGAACCCUUUGGAAAAUGGGACCAUAGACGGUGAUAGUCCGGUAUUCGAAGCUAAAUGAAGCGUAGUGGUAUCCUGAGUAGCGCGGGACACGAGGAAUCUUGCGUGAAUCUGCCGGGACCAUCCGGUAAGGCUAAAUACUCCCGAGAGACCGAUAGCGAACCAGUACUGUGAAGGAAAGGUGAAAAGCACUUCGAAUAGAAGAGUGAAAUAGUCCCUGAAACCGUGCGCCUACAAGCGGUCGGAGCAGCGUAAGUUGUGACGGCGUGCCUUUUGCAUAAUGAACCUACGAGUUACUUUUUCCGGCAAGGUUAAGCAUUUUAAAAUGUGUAGCCGAAGCGAAAGCGAGUCUGAACAGGGCGAUUAGUCGGAAGGAGUAGACGCGAAACCAAGUGAUCUACCCUUGGUCAGGUUGAAGGUUAGGUAACACUAACUGGAGGACCGAACCGAUAAGCGUUGAAAAGCUUCCGGAUGAACUGNAUCUUAGUACCUGCAGGAAAAGAAAAUAAUAAUGAUUCCCCAAGUAGUGGCGAGCGAACGGGGAUUAGCCCAAACCAAUGUUGUUACGGCAAUAUUGGGGUUGUAGGACCACGAUAUCGCAAGAAAUUUAGUGAGAAGAAUUCUUUGGAAAAUGAAACCAUAGACGGUGAUAGUCCGGUAUUCGAAGCUAAAUGAAGCGUAGUGGUAUCCUGAGUAGCGCGGGACACGAGGAAUCUUGCGUGAAUCUGCCGGGACCAUCCGGUAAGGCUAAAUACUCCCGAGAGACCGAUAGCGAACCAGUACUGUGAAGGAAAGGUGAAAAGCACUUCGAAUAGAAGAGUGAAAUAGUCCCUGAAACCGUGCGCCUACAAGCGGUCGGAGCUGCUUCAGCAGUGACGGCGUGCCUUUUGCAUAAUGAACCUACGAGUUACUUUUUCCGGCAAGGUUAAGGAUCUUGAGAUCCGCAGCCGAAGCGAAAGCGAGUCUUAACAGGGCGAUUAGUCGGAAGGAGUAGACGCGAAACCAAGUGAUCUACCCUUGGUCAGGUUGAAGGUUAGGUAACACUAACUGGAGGACCGAACCGAUAAGCGUUGAAAAGCUUCCGGAUGAACUGAGGGUGGGGGUGAAAGGCUAAUCAAACUUGGAGAUAGCUCGUACUCCCCGAAAUGCAUUUAGGUGCAGCCUUGGGAAUUACUACUGUGAGGUAGAGCGACUGAUAAGAUGCGAGGGCUUCACCGCCUAUCAAGUCUUGAUAAACUCCGAAUGCGCAGUAGUUCGAUCCCAGGAGUGAGGGCAUGGGUGCUAAGGUCCAUGUCCUAAAGGAGAAGAAUCCGGACCAUCAGCUAAGGUCCCGAAAUAAUUGCUAAGUUGAACUAACGAAGUCAGAUUGCUAAGACAGCUAGGAUGUUGGCUUGGAAGCAGCCAUUCAUUUAAAGAGUGCGUAACAGCUCACUAGUCGAGGAGUUUGGCGUGGAUAAUAAUCGGGCAUUAAGCAAUUUACCGAAGCUAUGGGAUCCGUAAGGAUCGGUAGGGGAGCAUUCCACUCUGCGUCGAAGGUGAAGCGUGAGCUUUGCUGGAGCGUGUGGAAAAGCAAAUGUAGGUAUAAGUAACGAUAAAGGGGGUGAGAAACCCCCUCGCCGAAAGACUAAGGUUUCCUGAUCAACGCUAAUCGGAUCAGGGUUAGUCGGGUCCUAAGGCUCAGCCGAACGGUGAGGCCGAUGGCAGAACAGGUUAAUAUUCCUGUACUACCUUAAGGAGUGACGUGGAGACGGAGCAGUGACAGCGCCGCGGACUGACGGAAUAGUCCGUUGAAGGGUGUAGAUGUUGAUUAUCCCAGGCAAAUCCGGGAUAAGAGUCGAACCUGAUAGUAUACCAAAUUCUUCGGAAUAAGGUAAUAGUGCGUGUAAGCAUACUCCCAAGAAAAUCCGCUAAACUUAAUCUUUAAGGUACCCGUACCGCAAACGGACACACGUAGUCGGGUUGAAUAUACUAAGGCGCUUGAGUGAUUCACGGUUAAGGAACUAGGCAAAUUGACCCUGUAACUUCGGGAUAAAGGGUCCCAACGAGAGUUGGGCGCAGAGAAUAGGUCCAGGCAACUGUUUAACAAAAACACAGGGCUGUGCUAAAUUGAAAGAUUACGUAUACAGCCUGACACCUGCCCGGUGCUGGAAGGUUAAGAGGAGAUGUCAUCGCAAGAGAAGCAUUGAAUUGAAGCCCCAGUAAACGGCGGCCGUAACUAUAACGGUCCUAAGGUAGCGAAAUUCCUUGUCGGGUAAGUUCCGACCUGCACGAAUGGUGUAAUGAUCUGGACACUGUCUCAACCGUGAGCUCAGUGAAAUUGUAGUAUCGGUGAAGAUGCCGAUUACCCGCGAUGGGACGAAAAGACCCCGUGAACCUUUACUAUAGCUUAACAUUGAAUUUGGGUAAUUGAUGUGUAGGAUAGGCCGGAGACUUCGAAGCAGGUACGCCAGUAUUUGUGGAGUCGCUGUUGAAAUACGGCCCUUUGAUUAUUUGAGUUCUAACUCGUAGAUGCGAGGACACUGUUUGGUGGGUAGUUUGACUGGGGUGGUCGCCUCCAAAAGUGUAACGGAGGCUUCUAAAGGUGCCCUCAGGACGAUUGGUAACCGUCCGUAGAGUGUAAUGGCAUAAGGGCGCUUGACUGGGAGACAGACAAGUCGAUCAGGUAGGAAACUAGAGCAUAGUGAUCCGGUGUUUCCGCAUGGAAGGGACAUCGCUCAAAGGAUAAAAGGUACUCCGGGGAUAACAGGCUGAUCCCUCCCAAGAGCUCAUAUCGACGGAGGGGUUUGGCACCUCGAUGUCGGCUCGUCACAUCCUGGGGCUGGAGAAGGUCCCAAGGGUUGGGCUGUUCGCCCAUUAAAGUGGCACGCGAGCUGGGUUCAGAACGUCGUGAGACAGUUCGGUCUCUAUCUAUCGUGGGCGUAUGAAAUUUGCGUGGCUCUGACACUAGUACGAGAGGACCGUGUUGGACUGACCGCUGGUUUACCAGUUGUGCCGCCAGGUGCAUCGCUGGGUAUCUAAGUCGGGAUUGGAUAAGUGCUGAAAGCAUCUAAGUACGAAGCCAGCCACAAGAUUAGAUUUCUUAGGGUCGUCAAAGACGAUGACGUUGAUAGGAUGCAGGUGUAAAGGUGGUAACAUCAAAGCCGAGCAUUACUAAUUGCCCGUUCACUUUCUUU